AAUAAAGUAAUUUAAAUAAAAUAUUAGUUUUGUAAACUAAAUAUGACUUUUCCUUUAUUA
rnacentral:tRNA from 1 species